rnacentral:tRNA from 1 species
GCGACCGUAGCUCAGAAGGUAGAGCACCGGUUUGAUACGCCCUGGUGUCGCAGGUUCAAGUCCUGCUGGUCGCACCA